CAAUAGCGUAUAUUAAAGUUGUUGCAGUUAAAAAGCUCGUAGUUGGAUUUCGGGAUGGCCCGGCCGGUCUGCCGCAAGGUAUGUUACUGGCCGAGCUGUUCUUCUUCGCAAAGACUGUGUGUGCUCUUAACUGAGUGUGCUCAGGAUCUGUGACGUUUACUUUGAAAAAAUUAGAGUGUUCAAAGCAAGCCAGCGCUUGAAUACAUAAGCACGGAAUAAUGGAAUAGGACUUUGGUUCUAUUUUGUUGGUUUCUGGAACCUUAGUAAUGAUUAAGAGAGACAGUUGGGGGCAUUCGUAUUUCGUUGUCAGAGGUGAAAUUCUUGGAUUUACGAAAGACGAACUACUGCGAAAGCAUUUGCCAAGAAUGUUUUCAUUAA
rnacentral:rRNA from 1 species